CACGCCCUAAACUAUGAUUACUAGCUGUCGGCGAUAUACAGCCGGUAGCCAAGCGAAAGCGAUAAGUAAUCCACCUGGGGAGUACNUGAUACGCGAGGAACCUUACCCGGGCUUGAAAGUUAGUGACCGGUGGUGAAAGCCACUUUUCAGCAAUGACACGAAACUAGGUGC
rnacentral:rRNA from 1 species